rnacentral:rRNA from 1 species
GAUGAACGCUGGCGGCGUGCCUAAUACAUGCAAGUCGAGCGAACAGAUGAGGAGCUUGCUCCUCUGACGUUAGCGGCGGACGGGUGAGUAACACGUGGAUAACCUACCUAUAAGACUGGGAUAACUUCGGGAAACCGGAGCUAAUACCGGAUAAUAUAUUGAACCGCAUGGUUCAAUAGUGAAAGACGGUUUUGCUGUCACUUAUAGAUGGAUCCGCGCCGCAUUAGCUAGUUGGUAAGGUAACGGCUUACCAAGGCAACGAUGCGUAGCCGACCUGAGAGGGUGAUCGGCCACACUGGAACUGAGACACGGUCCAGACUCCUACGGGAGGCAGCAGUAGGGAAUCUUCCGCAAUGGGCGAAAGCCUGACGGAGCAACGCCGCGUGAGUGAUGAAGGUCUUCGGAUCAUAAAACUCUGUUAUUGGGGAAGAACAAAUGUGUAAGUAACUAUGCACGUCUUGACGGUACCUAAUCAGAAAGCCACGGCUAACUACGUG